rnacentral:rRNA from 1 species
UACGUAGGGAGCAAGCGUUGUCCGGAAUCACUGGGCUUAAAGCGCGUGUAGGCGGCCCGGCACGUCCGUCGCUGAAAUCCCCCGGCUCAACCGGGGAAGGGGCGUGGAUACGACCGGGCUGGAGGGGGGUAGGGGGAGCCGGAACUUCCGGUGGAGCGGUGAAAUGCGUUGAGAUUGGAAGGAACGCCCGUGGCGAAAGCGGGCUCCUGGACCCCACCUGACGCUGAGACGCGAAAGCCAGGGGAGCGAACGGG